ensembl:antisense 1700041G16Rik RIKEN cDNA 1700041G16 gene
AUUGAAGGUCCGGUAACCUUCAAUUGGUGUAGCUCUGAGACUCCAAGCCCCGAUUGGAGGAUGAAGACAGUCGGUCAUCCAGUCACAAAGGGCCUCCGGGGAGCUAGAAAGUGACCGGAAAGCCAAGAAAGCUCUAGCUGUUCAAAUGUGAACGCCACUAGAAAAGCGACAAUAGGGAGUCCCACGGAGCUUUUGCGCAGCGGCGGACUGGGCAGUGCGCUCUUGGCCACGGAAGGUGGCGCUGCUGAGCCUGCGGGGACAGGCUCUCUGGACCCAACCAUCCUGGCUAAAAAAGAAACUUGCGGCUUCCACAGUGAAUUCCCGGGGGUGACUCCUUUCUAGUCCACCGCAAAGGCGGGAAAUAAAGCCGGCCCCCGCGGACAAAGCGGCGCCUCCACCCACGCAGCUGCGGGGAGUCGGGAGGGUAGGGGAGGAGGCGGAGGAUGGUUGCCAUGGCGACGAGCCAGCAUCUGAAGCCGCUGAAUGGACUCUUUGUUUUGAAGCCAGCUGACGGGUGGUGCGGUUUCUAAGGUGCAGGGGGAGGCGGGUCUCGCCGGAGUCACUCGGGUUGCGCUGCGGGGACCAUCGGCUCCCACGCAGGCCUGCCCUGGGAUGGCGCCGGACACCUGCUUCCUGUCCACAUCGACUCCGCUAAGGACUGGGCGAGCAGGCUCAGGGAAGCCAAACAGAAUCAGUUUGCCGGAAGAAAAACAGAAAGGGAGCUCCUUACAGAGACUAGAAGUGGCCAGCGCUGGCCUCUCCCUUGUGAAAGUUGGUCCCUGGGGCGAGCUGAAGGGGUAGAGAUUUCCCUGAGUACUCAAUAAUCAGUAUGUAUGGUAUGGGGUAGCGAGUGUGAGCGCUGGCGUGUGUAUUUGCAUUUCAGGAAGUGGUUGCUUAGGCAGCUGUGAGACUAGCGGUUGGGAAAUGGAAACUCUCAGAGCAGCCUGUAGUUUUCAGUUUUGCCGUGUGUACUAAGCGCUAUGUGUAAAGCAAAAGCAAAAGUUUAAACAAGUUUAAACAAGGAACGUCCGUGUGUUGGAAUACCCUCUGUCUACCUAAUGGGCUUUGGAACACUGGAGAGCACCCGAAACUUUAUUUAAUACUUGAAUUUUAAAAAAUAUGCAGGCAUAAACUGAUACCACUAGCCUGCAGACAGGUCAUCAGGCAAACGGAACAGCAAAACCUGCCGUCCUUCUCAUCUUGUAGGAUGCGGAAGGAGAUCGUCAUUAUUGAAGAAGCUCAUUGCAUAAUUCAGCCAUAACAGCGUUCUUUCACCAAAGUUCUAAAGAAGAUUUAUAAGUAGGGAAGGUUUUUCUCAAAAGUUUGGGUCCAUGGCUUCUUGGUUUAGGGCUUGUGGCCACACCUGUGAGGGAGUACGCUGAAGGAGCCUCUACUUUGGAUAUUUUCAUCACGGGGAAGCGAAGACUGAGAUAGGAUGGGGGUCCGAGUUCCAACCCCCCUUCAAAAACACACGCUCAAUUGGCUUGAUUCCUUCAGCUAUCUUUCAACAGCAUCAGAGGCAGGGGGUCAAACCUUUUGGGAUGUAUAUGCUCAGAUCUAAACUAUAAUACUGCUAUCUAUUGUAAGAUCAAAGUAGCCACGGGGACCCUCCCUAAAUUAACCAUAUACAGACAUCAUAUCAAGAGCAGUUUUUCUCGUAAAAUGGUGUAUUGUUAAUGAAACAAUUAACUUUUAAAGAAUUUAAGAAAGAGAGAGAUCUUGAGGUUGGGUGGGUAAGAAGAUGGGGAAGAUCUGGGAGGAGUUGGGGGAGGGGGAGCAUAUGAUCAAAACGGAAAAAAAAAUAAAAGUAAUGAUGUAUUUUAC